UACGUAGGGUGCAAGCGUUGUCCGGAAUUAUUGGGCGUAAAGAGCUCGUAGGCGGUCUGUCGCGUCGAAUGUGAAAAUCCGGGGCUCAACUCCGGACCUGCAUUCGAUACGGGCAGACUAGAGUUCGGUAGGGGGAGACUGGAAUUCCUGGUGUAGCGGUGAAUGCGCAGAUAUCAGGAGGAACACCGGUGGCGAAGGCGGGUCUCUGGGCCGAUACUGACGCUGAGGAGCGAAAGCGUGGGGAGCGAACAGG
rnacentral:rRNA from 1 species